UACGAAGGGAGCGAGCGUUAUCCGGAAUUAUUGGGCGUAAAGGGUGCGUAGGCGGUCAUUUAAGUCUUUGGUGUAAGUGCAGUGCUCAACGCUGUGAUGCUAAAGAAACUGGAUGACUAGAGUGUGGAAGAGGCAAGUGGAAUUCCAUGUGAAGCGGUAAAAUGCGUAAAUAUAUGGAGGAACUCCAGAGGCGAAGGUGGCUUGCUGGGCCACAACUGACGCUGAGGCACGAAAGCGUGGGGAGCAAACA
rnacentral:rRNA from 1 species